rnacentral:rRNA from 1 species
UCCAGACUCCUACGGGAGGCAGCAGUGAGGAAUAUUGGUCAAUGGGCGGAAGCCUGAACCAGCCAAGCCGCGUGAGGGAUGAAGGUACAGAGUAUCGUAAACCUCUUUUGUCAGGGAACAAAGGCGGGGACGUGUCCCCGGAUGAGUGUACCUGAAGAAAAAGCAUCGGCUAACUCCGUGCCAGCAGCCGCGGUAAUACGGAGGAUGCGAGCGUUAUCCGGAUUUAUUGGGUUUAAAGGGUGCGUAGGCGGAAUGCCAAGUCAGCGGUAAAAUCGCGGGGCUCAACCUCGCUCCGCCGUUGAAACUGGCGUGCUUGAGUGGGCGAGAAGUAUGCGGAAUGCGUGGUGUAGCGGUGAAAUGCAUAGAUAUCACGCAGAACUCCGAUUGCGAAGGCAGCAUACCGGCGCCCAACUGACGCUGAAGCACGAAAGCGUGGGUAUCGAACAGGAUUAGAUACCCGAGUA